rnacentral:rRNA from 1 species
AUCUCGUUUGCUAUUUUUUAGUAUUGGAGAUUUCGUUACUUUGAGUAAGUUAGAGUGUCCAAAGCAAACAGUUAAAGCAUUUUGAUUGCGUUUGAAUACUACAGCAUGGAAUAACAAAAUUGAACAAGUCAGAAUUCUGUUCUUUUUUCUUAUUUUGGCUUAGUUACGACUAAUAGGAGUAGCUUGGAGGCAUUUGUAUUCAGAUGUCAGAGGUGAAAUUCUUAGAUUUUCUGGAGACAAACAACUGCGAAAGCAUUUGCCUAAAAUACUUCCAUUAAUCAAGAACGAAAGUUAAGGGAGUGAAGACGAUCAGAUACCGUCGUAAUCUUAACCAUAAACUAUGCCGACUAGGUUUUGGAUGAAAAAUUUUUAAAUAAGAAAAUUCCUUUCGGGGAAAUUUUUUAGAUUGCUUCCUUCAGUACCUUAUGAGAAAUCAAAGUCUUUGGGUUCUGGGGCGAGUAUUCGCGCAAGCGAGAAAGUUAAAAGAAUUGACGGAAGGGCACCCCCAGGCGUGGAGCUUGCGGCUUAAUUUGACUCAACACGGGGAAACUCACUAGUUUAAGACAAGAGUAGGAUUGACAGAUUAAUAGCUCUUUCUUGAUUUCUUGGAUGGUGAUGCAUGGCCGUUUUUAGUUCGUGAAUAUGAUUUGUCUGGUUAAUUCCGAUAACGAACGAGAUCUUAACCUGCUAAUUAGCGGCGAAUACGUUAUAUUCUUAUGUGAAAUUGAAUAUAGCUGAAUUUGCUUAUUUUGAAGAAUACAUUAGGAUACAAUUAAUGUGUCCUUUCC